AGUGAACGCUGGCGGUAGGCCUAACACAUGCAAGUCGAACGGCAGCACAGGAGAGCUUGCUCUCUGGGUGGCGAGUGGCGGACGGGUGAGGAAUACAUCGGAAUCUACUUUUUCGUGGGGGAUAACGUAGGGAAACUUACGCUAUUACCGCCUACGGCCUACGGGUGAAAGCAGGGGACCUUCGGGCCUUGCGCGAUUGAAUGAGCCGGUGUCGGAUUAGGUGGUUGGCGGGGUAAAGGCCCACCAAGGCGACGAUCCGUAGCUGGUCUGAGAGGAAGAUAAGCCACACUGGAACUGGGACACGGGCCAGACUGCGACGGGAGGCAGCAGUGGGGAAUAGUGGACAAUGGGCGCAAGCCUGAUCCAGCCAUACCGCGUGGGGGAAGAAGGCCUUCGGGUUGUAAGGCCCUUUUGGUGGGAAAGAGAUCCAGCGGGCUAAUACCCGGUGGGGAUGACGGUACCCAAAGAAGAAGCACCGGCUAACUUCGUGCCAGCAGCCGCCGUAA
rnacentral:rRNA from 1 species